AUUGAACGCUGGCGGCAUGCUUUACACAUGCAAGUCGAACGGUAACAGGCCUUCGGGUGCUGACGAGUGGCGAACGGGUGAGUAAUGCAUCGGAACGUGCCCAGAGGUGGGGGAUAACGCAGCGAAAGCUGUGCUAAUACCGCAUGUGAUCUGAGGAUGAAAGCGGGGGACCAAGCAGCAAUGUUUGGCCUCGCGCCUCUGGAGCGGCCGAUGUCAGAUUAGGUAGUUGGUGGGGUAAAGGCCUACCAAGCCGACGAUCUGUAGCUGGUCUGAGAGGACGACCAGCGACACUGGGACUGAGACACGGCCCAGACUCCUACGGGAGGCAGCAGUGGGGAAUUUUGGACAAUGGGCGCAAGCCUGAUCCAGCAAUGCCGCGUGCGGGAAGAAGGCCUUAGGGUUGUAAACCGCUUUUGUACGGAACGAAAAGGCUCUGGCUAAUACCUGGGGCUGAUGACGGUACCGUAAGAAUAAGCACCGGCUAACUACGUG
rnacentral:rRNA from 1 species